GACGAACGCUGGCGGCGUGCCUAAUACAUGCAAGUCGAACGCAGUGGGGACGGGGGAGUAAAACGUGGGUAACCUCCCAUCAGAGGGGAUAACACGUGGAAACAGGUGCUAAACCGAAAUUGAUGGAUGGACCCGCGGGGCAGUAGCUAGUGGGUGAGGUAACGGCUCACCAAGGCCACGAUGCAUAGCCGACCUGAGAGGUUGAUCGGCCACACUGGAACUGAGACACGGCCCAGACUCCUACGGGAGGCAGCAGUAGGGAAUCUUCGGCAAUGGACGAAAGUCUGACCGAGCAACGCCGCGUGAGUGAAGAAGGUUUUCGGAUCGUAAAGCUCUGUUAUUAGAGAAGCGGUAUCUAACCAGAAAGCCACGGCUAACUACGUGCCAGCAGCCGCGGUAAUAC
rnacentral:rRNA from 1 species